AAGUCGUAACAAGGUAACCGUAGGUGAACCUGCGGUUGGAUCAUUAAUGAAAUGUAGUGUCUCAGUGUCAUUUUUGACGUUGAGCAUUAUAAUUAACCCCUUGUGAAUGUUUAACGUAUUUUGGCGGCCCUCCAAAUCCGUCGCGUUUUCUUUUCGGAGAAUUCUUGGCGAUGGGCUGUCAGUUUUUAAAAACACCUGUGUCUGUUAUAUUUUUUGUCUACGACAAGGUUCAUUCAUUGGACCUUGUUUUUAUAAAAUUAAUAAACAACUUUUGACAACGGAUCUCUUGGCUCUC
rnacentral:misc_RNA from 1 species